CAACCACCAGAAUACAUUCCAUAAACCUCUCUCCUGCUACUCACUUGUACAGUUCGGGGUAACUACAUGAUGGAGGAGAAAUGUUUCUUCAGAACUACAUCUAGAGGGAUACAGUAAAAAUACUUUUAACUUGAUACAGAAGAAAGCCAUCAAAAAUGUCAUUCAAGGUGAAUGAUCAGUGGGGGACAGCUGACAUGGAAACAAAUUACUUCUCAUCCCUAGGUCAGGUUAGAGGUCACUGGAACAACGGAGCCAUGGGCAAGCUGCUGUGCUCAAGGCUUUCCUUUCAAAGUCCUACCUACACUAGAGCAUUCUGGCAACCUGCCCUGUGUAAGAGGCACGUGGGCAACAAUGGACCUGGCCCCUCCCUGCCAACCUUCAACAGCAAGGAGAUGCAUGGGUCCAAAGCACAGGCUGUGGCAUGAAGAAUUCCAGGCAUCUCUCAUAACUUGGCAACUAUGGUGACCUGUGAGGAUGAAGAAAAGAACCAGCUUGUGGAUGGUGGAGGACAAAGAUCAUGGUAAAGUUCUACCACCCGUACUGGCAGAGUGGUUUGUUGGAUGAACAACAUCCCCCCUCACAGCACUCCAGAAGCACUCAAAUUUCAUUCACCUCCAGAAGCAGACCAUCAGAAUGGAAUUCUUGCACUACAGGCAAGAUGCACCCCAA